AGCCUUCAGUCACUCGCCCAGGGUCUCAGGGCCGUUUCAUAGCUGAGCCGGCAUCUGGAGGGAGAAUCCUGAGACCAGAGUCCGAGCUGAGUUAGCAAAGGGCCCCAGUUCCCAGGUCCCUCCGCUGUUGCUACCAGGGACCCUUAUCGGCUAAGGAUGAGUUUGGCUGCCUAAACAAUGAAGAGGUGUCCAGGCAGGCAUUAUCAGACGACCAGAGCGCUUUCUGCAAGUUCAUGUUCAUAGCGUUUUUCUGAUGCCACCGUCCUGCAGGGAGCAGGGAAGGAGUCAGCACAGAUCACCCACAGGACCUCUGGAGUGCCCAGGCUCCAGCGGUGACCCACCCCAGGGGCCCCCUCUGCUGCUCUGGUUUGUCUCUGGACCUCGGGGCCGGCACACCCUGCCCAGGGAGGGGAGCCCCCGCCUCCCAUGC